UAAUACCUUUGGAAAACCCGAAAACUAAAUUUCUUCGACUUUAAAUAGUAGGUUUAAAAAAAAUUGUGGAGCAAGCGCUUUUACUACUCUUAAAUUCUGAAAUUAAAGAUAUUGGUGGUAAAUAUUAUAAAGCGAAGCUACUAUUCGAAGAAAGUUUGCUCCGCUCGCGUUAUAUCGCGUUUUAUAAUAAAUAAAAUAAUUCUGUUUUGUGUUAAAGUCUUUUCUUAGACUUAGCGGCGAUGAAAGCAUAUCUAUUCUCUGUUUCACAUUGACCAAUUACUUUCAACAUAAUUUGAUUAAAAAUUUCUCUUUGAUUCCUUUUUUUAUUGGGGAUCAAGAACUUUUCAAUUUAGGAUCAAGAAAAUUAGAAAAUUAAAAGAUUAAAAAGUUAUGCUAAGAUGAAACCGCACACGGAAUGUGCACACGUUGAAAACAAAUUAAAUUUUUCUCAUACACACCUAAAAUAAAUAUUUCCACACUACAGCAGAGUACACCUCGUGUCAUAAUUGCAUAUCUAGGGCAUAAUGAAGCAUUAUUUACACAAGGAAACGUGAAAUGAUCUGACAAUAGCAUGGGUUGAAACAACUUAUCAGUCAAUCUAACUGUUUUCAUUGAGCUGCUAAAAGAUAUAAAAA